CUCACCCGCAUACCCACCCUCACCCACUUUCGCACACACACAACACUCCAAGCCUCUCUCCUCGCCAGACUACAGAGGUGCGCUCGCCGGAGGUGAGGCGGCCCAGGCUGGUGGAUUGCACAGGACAGCUCUAGUAGCUCCGGAGCAGGACUCCACGACGCGGACCUGCACACUCGCUAUGAGCAGCCCCCGGACCCAGGGUGCAUCCACAGCGCCCACCUGCGGCCCCAAACCACCUCGAGAGCAGAUCUUCAGGAAUAACCGGGCAGCAACUUGGGGCGCCCUGAAGCUACCAAAACCUCUGCCGGAAACCUAGAACAUAUGACCGAAUUCAACGGUCGUCUUCCGACAAGCAUCCAUCCAUGCACCCAUGCAUACAAUGCAAAUACAUGGAUACAGGCACUGACUGCUGCACCUUUCCCUUGCUUGGGCUGAGAGCAGGAGUAGGGAGGACUUUCCUGCAGUCCCUCCUCCGGCUCAGCCCUGUUCUCCUUCCCAAAGGGAGAACAUUGAGUUACAAAAAAAGUGCAAAGGAACGAAAUCCCAGGUCAAAGGCUCCCGGAAACACUCCUUUGGUUCUCGUCCCUGUCCUGCUGCCCCACCUCCACUGUCCCCAGCUCGGGGAAGGCGGGGACCAGGCGGUGCGAGGGGUCGUGCCCUGCACAGCCAGAACAAAGCCCACCGCGGCAUCCCACAGCCACGCAGGGAGCUGGUGACAACGGCGUACGCACUCAGUGACCUGAUAAGGUGACUCAGUGUUUACCUCUUCACUGUCCCGCACCCCAUCUUCCUCUCUCAUCCCUUUCUGUCCCAAGUUUCCUCCAUUUCUCCCUGCUUUUUUGCUCCACCUCACCCCUUUUACAUGUUCCCCUUCUCCCUUUGCGUUUUUUCAUCUCUUUCCGUUUUUCUUUUUCACGGAAAUGCAAUGCCAGUUCGACUUCUGAAGGCCGCUCUGCGUGCCUAGUGCUUAGAGAGAAAAAAGGACUAAUGGAAUCCUCCUAAUUUUAUUCUGCAAACCAUGUUCUAAAUAAAAUACAAUACAGUCUAAAGAAGCGGAGCUUGGAUCUCGUACCCCCACAAGUCGCCGCCUAUUUGGGAGAACUUUCUGAAGAUGGCCACAAAUCACAGGAGAAAGGAGGAAGGAAGGAGGCCGCCCUCGCCUCUGUGGAAUGGAGACCUCAAGUGCUGGUGCCCCCUCAAGACAAGCUUGUCCAGGGAAAGUUCCAAUCUAAUUGUAUAAGCCCGGAAAGGAAUCACUCGCCAGAACCCUUGCUGUGAAAUCAUAUUGCUUCCGAAGUUAGAAUACGUUAAUAAUCACUUUUUUUUCUGAGUGAAAUUUUGUUUGUUUUUGCAAUGAGAAUUAAAGCGAACAUAACCUAUGCCAUUUGGACAAGCACACCUUGACUUCUGAGGGCUUUUUGCACCCUGAUAUAACACUAAAUUAAGAUUUGUCAUCUGUUAAGCACCACUCAACCUGGGAAAUUCUGCCCUUGGGCUUUAUUGAGUAACCAGAAAAUUUGGGAGGAGGGGUAAGUGUUCAAAGCAAUAAGGGAUACAAAACUUUUAACUUUGGGCUAACAAACUCUAGUUGCAUGAAGCUACAGUGAGCAAGGUCACUGAGUUCUACCACUAAGGCCUUUUCACCAGAUAUUUUGGGACUGAAAUUAUACUGCUGCAAACAAGCCAUGGAGUAUCUGAAAGUAUCAAUAUUGAUACUGUAUUUUUUAAGUGAACAAAACAGCCACACUUUCUCGAAGACCCCUUGAACACUGACCAGUCAGGUGGACCUAUGGAGGGAGCAGGACAAUGAAGUGGGAGCUUCAACAGCCACAGGAGAGAGGACACCACAUAAGCACCACUUGGGGGAAAUGCCCAAAAGAACAGCUUUCAGCCUGGUAAACUGCAAUUUGUACCCAGUUCCACAGAUAAUAGCUAAGUUCAAAUAUUAAAAAUCUAAUGAAAAA